AUGCAGUCGAGCGCGGGAAGCAGGCAGAUCCUCUUCGGAGGUGACGCCUGUGGAACGAGCGGCGGACGGGUGAGUAACACGUGGGCAACCUGCCUGUAAGAUUGGGAUAACCCCGGGAAACCGGGGCUAAUACCGGAUAAUACUUUUCGUUGCAUAACGAGAAGUUGAAAGGCGGCUUUUAGCUGUCACUUACAGAUGGGCCCGCGGCGCAUUAGCUAGUUGGUAAGGUAACGGCUUACCAAGGCGACGAUGCGUAGCCGACCUGAGAGGGUGAUCGGCCACACUGGGACUGAGACACGGCCCAGACUCCUACGGGAGGCAGCAGUAGGGAAUCUUCCGCAAUGGACGAAAGUCUGACGGAGCAACGCCGCGUGAGUGAUGAAGGUUUUCGGAUCGUAAAACUCUGUUGUCAGGGAAGAACAAGUGCCGUUCAAAUAGGGCGGCACCUUGACGGUACCUGACCAGAAAGCCCCGGCUAACUACGUGCCAGCAGCCGCGGUAAUACGUAGGGGGCAAGCGUUGUCCGGAAUUAUUGGGCGUAAAGCGCGCGCAGGCGGUCCUUUAAGUCUGAUGUGAAAGCCCACGGCUUAACCGUGGAGGGCCAUUGGAAACUGGAGGACUUGAGUACAGAAGAGGAGAGUGGAAUUCCACGUGUAGCGGUGAAAUGCGUAGAGAUGUGGAGGAACACCAGUGGCGAAGGCGACUCUCUGGUCUGUAACUGACGCUGAGGUGCGAAAGCGUGGGGAGCGAACAGGAUUAGAUACCCUGGUAGUCCACGCCGUAAACGAUGAGUGCUAGGUGUUAGGGGGUUUCCGCCCCUUAGUGCUGAAGUUAACGCAUUAAGCACUCCGCCUGGGGAGUACGGCCGCAAGGCUGAAACUCAAAAGAAUUGACGGGGGCCCGCACAAGCGGUGGAGCAUGUGGUUUAAUUCGAAGCAACGCGAAGAACCUUACCAGGUCUUGACAUCCUCUGCCAAUCCUAGAGAUAGGAUGUUCCCUUCGGGGACAGAGUGACAGGUGGUGCAUGGUU
rnacentral:rRNA from 1 species